AGCGAACGCUGGCGGCAGGCCUAACACAUGCAAGUCGAACGAGCCCUUCGGGGUUAGUGGCGGACGGGUGAGUAACACGUGGGAACGUGCCUUUAGGUUCGGAAUAACUCAGGGAAACUUGUGCUAAUACCGAAUGUGCCCUUCGGGGGAAAGAUUUAUCGCCUCUAGAGCGGCCCGCGUCUGAUUAGCUAGUUGGUGAGGUAAUGGUUCACCAAGGCUACGAUCAGUAGCUGGUCUGAGAGGAUGACCAGCCACAUUGGGACUGAGACACGGCCCAAACUCCUACGGGAGGCAGCAGUGGGGAAUCUUGCGCAAUGGGCGAAAGCCUGACGCAGCCAUGCCGCGUGGAUGAUGAAGGUCUUAGGAUUGUAAAAUCCUUUCACCGGUGAAGAUAAUGACUGUAGCCGGAGAAGAAGCCCCGGCUAACUUCGUGCCAGCAGCCGCGGUAACAC
rnacentral:rRNA from 1 species